GAUGAAGAACGUAGCAAAAUGCGAUACUUGGUGUGAAUUGCAGAAUCCCGUGAACCAUCGAGUUUUUGAACGCAAGUUGCGCCCGAAGCAUUUUGGCCGAGGGCACGUCUGCCUGGGCGUCACGCAUCGCGUCGCCCCCCACAAUUCUCCGUAAAGGGAACGUGUGUUUUGGGGGCGGAUAUUGGUCUCCCGUGCUCAUGGCGUGGUUGGCCGAAAUAGGAGUCCUUUCGAUGGACGCACGAACUAGUGGUGGUCGUAAAAACCCUCGUCUUUUGUUUCGUGCUGUUGCUCGCAAGGUAAACUCUUUAAAAACCCCAAUGUGUCGUCUCUUGACGACGCUUCGACCGCGACCCCAGGUCAGGCGGGACUACCCGCUGAGUUUAAGCAUAUCAAUAAGCGGAGGA
rnacentral:misc_RNA from 1 species